GCUCAGGAUGAACGCUGGCGGCGUGCCUAAUACAUGCAAGUCGAGCGAACAGACGAGGAGCUUGCUCCUUUGACGUUAGCGGCGGACGGGUGAGUAACACGUAGGUAACCUACCUAUAAGACUGGGAUAACUUCGGGAAACCGGAGCUAAUACCGGAUAAUAUUUCGAACCGCAUGGUUCGAUAGUGAAAGAUGGCUUUGCUAUCACUUAUAGAUGGACCUGCGCCGUAUUAGCUAGUUGGUAAGGUAACGGCUUACCAAGGCAACGAUACGUAGCCGACCUGAGAGGGUGAUCGGCCACACUGGAACUGAGACACGGUCCAGACUCCUACGGGAGGCAGCAGUAGGGAAUCUUCCGCAAUGGGCGAAAGCCUGACGGAGCAACGCCGCGUGAGUGAUGAAGGUCUUCGGAUCGUAAAACUCUGUUAUUAGGGAAGAACAAACGUGUAAGUAACUGUGCACGUCUUGACGGUACCUAAUCAGAAAGCCACGGCUAACUACGUGCCAGCAGCCGCGGUAAUACGUAGGUGGCAAGCGUUAUCCGGAAUUAUUGGGCGUAAAGCGCGCGUAGCCGGUUUUUUAAGUCUGAUGUGAAAGCCCACGGCUCAACCGUGGAGGGUCAUUGGAAACUGGAAAACUUGAGUGCAGAAGAGGAAAGUGGAAUUCCAUGUGUAGCGGUGAAAUGCGCAGAGAUAUGGAGGAACACCAGUGGCGAAGGCGACUUUCUGGUCUGUAACUGACGCUGAUGUGCGAAAGCGUGGGGAUCAAACAGGAUUAGAUACCCUGGUAGUCCACGCCGUAAACGAUGAGUGCUAAG
rnacentral:rRNA from 1 species